UUUUCUUCAUGAGCUCUUAAUUUCAAGCCACUAAGGUGUAAGUUCAACUUAUCAUACACGUGCACAUACAUAGAUUAACCAUCUAGAGACGUGGCAUAUGGAUGCAUUCACUGAUUUUCUAAAAGAACAAUUUAGUAUUUUCUCAGUAGUUGUCAUUUCCAAAUUCAUAUACUAUGACAGCAGUUGAAACUUGAUGGACCCUAUUUUUUCAAGAACAAUUAAGGGGCAUUUCUGGAAACAUUUUAAUGAAUGAUUUGAACUAGUAGGGUAGUUAAAAGAAAACUAUUGAUUUGGGAUUGUUACGAAUUCGAUGUAUGAAAAAGUUUUGGGUAUUUGGAUGAAGUAGACGUUUGGGGAAAAUAAUCUUAAUAUGCAUGUGAGGGUGUAUGAAGAUGACAUGGUUUAGUUAUGUGGUGGUCAUUCAGUGUUCAUAAAAUUUCCCACAUUUGGAUAAAAUUCAUCGUGUUUAAUGCCACUUGUUAUUUACACAGAUGUCUGGCCCAAGUAGUACUGGAAGUAUUGGAUUAGGACCAAUACGUGAGAAAUAUAGCAUGACCAAUAUAUCGGUGAGCAAUGUCCCACAAGAAGAUCCAGUUGAACCGUUACCAAUGUGGAUGAAAGGCUAAUAAGCCUAAGUGACGAGAAGUGUGAUAUUGGAGAACUAUUUUCCCGAAAGAGGAAAUUGAUUCAGCUAUUUGAGAGCACUACAAAAGAUAAAAUAUUAGUGUGGAAUGGAGGGUUAUAUGCAAUCAUUACAAAAAACAGUUAGGGGUGACACAAAAAAUAGUACAAAGCAUUUGCAUGAUCAUUUGAAGAGAUGUGUAUUUCGUUAUCAAGAUGAUAUUUGCCAAGCAACAUUAAAUUUAAAAAAGGAUGCUGCGAGUGGUAAGGUCACAAUGGGUACUUACUCUUUCGAUCCAGAUAAGUGUAGGUAUAGUCUCGCAAAAAUGGUGAUUUUGUAUGAACAUUCUUUGUCUUCGAUUGAUCACAUUCGAUUUCGAGAGUUCUUGCACGACCUGCAACCAUUAUUUAAAGUUCAUUCUCGUAACACUUUGAAGAGCGACAUUUUGACGAUCUAUGAAUACGAGAAAGAAAAAAGCAAGAUUGCAGUUGAGAGAUUGAGAGUUGAAUUUCGAUCACUACCGAUAUGUGGGCCUCUUCUAAUCAAAAGAAUGGAUUCAUGGUUAUCACUACUCAUUUCAUAUAUGAUGCUUGGAAACUAUAGAGUCGAAUAAUGAGGUGCAGUAAAAAAUUACAUUCACUUAUUUUCAUAAUUUACCAAAAUUAUAUUCUUUUAGUUGAUUUAAUUUGCUCUCGAACGAACUUAGUUUUAUAUAUGUGACGUGCUUUCAAAAACUCUAUUGUACAGUUUGCUGGAAGAAAUAUUGAUCGUAACUUACUAACUUUGACCAUAGAUAAUUGCACCACAAAU
rnacentral:lncRNA from 1 species